rnacentral:rRNA from 1 species
AGUGAACGCUGGCGGUGGGCCUAACACAUGCAAGUCGAACGGCAGCACAGUAAGAGCUUGCUCUUACGGGUGGCGAGUGGCGGACGGGUGAGGAAUACAUCGGAAUCUACUUUUUCGUGGGGGGUAACGUAGGGAAACUUACGCUAAUACCGCAUACGACCUACGGGUGAAAGCAGGGGAUCUUCGGACCUUGCGCGAUUGAAUGAGCCGAUGUCGGAUUAGCUAGUUGGCGGGGUAAAGGCCCACCAAGGCGACGAUCCGUAGCUGGUCUGAGAGGAUGAUCAGCCACACUGGAACUGAGACACGGUCCAGACUCCUACGGGAGGCAGCAGUGGGGAAUAUUGGACAAUGGGCGCAAGCCUGAUCCAGCCAUACCGCGUGGGUGAAGAAGGCCUUCGGGUUGUAAAGCCCUUUUGUUGGGAAAGAAAAGCAGCAGGUUAAUACCCCGCUGUUCUGACGGUACCCAAAGAAUAAGCACCGGCUAACUUCGUG